rnacentral:lncRNA from 1 species
UGGCGGUGAAACAAUGGAGAGGCUGGCGAGGGGAAGAGAGGGCGGCCCCGGGCGUGGGCGGAUCUUCGGGCGGAGAGCUGGAGAAUCUCCGUCGUCAGUCGUCACACGGGCUCUAUUCACUUCCUUCACGGUUCACGGCGGCGGCGGCGGCCUUCCUGAUCCGGUUCUACAAGCUGCGCAAUGGCUGCAGGUCCAACUCUUGCAAACAGUCUUGACUUGUUAUGUGCUAGUACUGCACUAUAGCUCGGAAUUAAAGUUUCCACAAUCUAGGCAGGGAAGAACCAAUUUCUUCACAAUUGGAUUACAUUUUGUGUUGUUCUACAUCAGACUGCAGAUUUUUUCUUUCUAAAAAAAAUACUGUUUAGUAAAAUUGGUGCCAAUAUAGAAGGGGAGCCAUCCUGUUCUUUCAGAUUCAGAUGCAUUGAAGUGUGAUUUAUUUCCUUUGUCCUGAACUUGGAAACGCUACAAAGGAAAAGCUUCCUAGCUGUUAGGUUCCUGAGUUGCUUGUCUUCUGACCUUCUGCAGAUUAACCAUUCUAACUUAUAAGAUUUUGCGGAGAACUGAGUGCCUUCGCAACAGCGUGUGAUUGGUUGAGCUUAUGAGAGGGAUUGGGGAAUCAGUUCACUGGCCUUUUGUCGAACAAGAAGACCUUGGUCCGAUGAGCACUCCAAGGGACAGUUCCAUAGCUUGUCUCAGUCCUGAAGAGGUGAGCUUGGUACUCUGAUAUUGGCGCUUCUGCCACCGUUUCGUUUGGUUAAUUUGUGUUCAUUGCUGGCUCUUUCUGAUGUGUUUAGAUUACAUCCGUGUGAGGUUGGUCUUUUGUGUUGAUAUCCUUUGAAUUUGCAUAUGUAAUAGGCUCAUUUACACAGACAUUUGUGUUUGUGUGUUCGUUAGUAAAAAGGAUCUUUUUUAAAGUUAUAUUAUAUUUGAAUUUAAGCCUUAAAUAAGUGAAGUAUUCUUUCUUGUU